UACGUAGGGUGCGAGCGUUAAUCGGAAUUACUGGGCGUAAAGCGUGCGCAGGCGGUUUUGUAAGCCAGAUGUGAAAUCCCCGGGCUUAACCUGGGAAUGGCAUUUGGGACUGCAAGGCUGGAGUGUGGCAGAGGAGACUGGAAUUCCUGGUGUAGCAGUGAAAUGCGUAGAUAUCAGGAGGAAUACCGAUGGCGAAGGCAGAUCUCUGGGCCGUAACUGACGCUGAGGAGCGAAAGCGUGGGGAGCGAACAGG
rnacentral:rRNA from 1 species